rnacentral:lncRNA from 1 species
UAGGCAUUAGUCUCAUCUUCUUUGAUGUAUUAUGGACUUCAUUUUUAGCUAUUCCUUUCGUCAAAGGAUCUGCUAAACUUUCAUCAGUGUGUAUAUGACCCAUUCUUACAGCUCCUCUAGAGAGUAACUUUUCUCCCUAUGCUGUGUUUUCUUCUUAUUUGACGUCUCUUACCGUUAUAAUAACGAUUUUCAAUUUAUGCAAUAGCCGCGGUACUAUCGCAAUGGAUAAACACAUCUGGUAUAGAUUAUUCCAUAAAGGAAUCUCAGCUUGCAAGUAUCUCAACUAUCUUGCUUCUUCAUUAGCAGUCGAUAAUGCUAUCUCUUCAGAUUCCAUA